rnacentral:misc_RNA from 1 species
UAAAAGUAUGCUCAAUCUAACCACUUAAGCUUUUAAAUGAGAUGGUCACACACUUUAACGUGGUAUCAGAGCAGGACUCAUCUCACCAAAUGUUGGGACCCCCAAAAUCAAAAUUGCCCACGCACCAAAUGCUAAGCAUGGGCAUGAGGUUGGGUGAUAAAGAAUGACAAAAGUUCCACAUUUGCGGUUAAUAAGAUAAGUGAAUCCUUAUAAG